GGAAUAUUGGUCAAUGGGCGAAAGCCUGAACCAGCAAUGCCGCGUGAGUGAUGAAGGCCUUCGGGUUGUAAAGCUCUGUCGGGGGAGACGAAAAAACCGUUUAACAAACGGUCUUGACGGUACCCCCAAAGGAAGCACCGGCUAACGCUGUGCCAGCAGCCGCGGUAAUACAGAGGGUGCAAGCGUUGUUCGGAAUUACUGGGCGUAAAGAGCGUGUAGGCGGUCUUUCAAGUCAGACGUGAAAUCCCUAGGCUUAACCAAGGAAUGGCGUCUGAUACUGUUAGACUAGAGUAUCGGAGGGGAUGGCGGAAUUCCCGGUGUAGAGGUGAAAUUCGUAGAUAUCGGGAGGAACACCUGUGGCGAAGGCGGCCAUCUGGAAGAUAACUGACGCUGAGACGCGAAAGCGUGGGGAGCAAAC
rnacentral:rRNA from 1 species